UGCCCAGCAACUCCUAUCACUACCUCCUCGCGAUACUGACCGGGGUACGAGUAACCUUGGGGAAGAUCGGGUAGCCAACCCCGGUGGGAACUAUGGUCGUAUGCUGACGGGGAAGG
rfam:Aedes aegypti strain Liverpool supercont1.279 genomic scaffold, whole genome shotgun sequence.